ensembl:lncRNA
GAAGUAUUACAUAAUCAUGUACUCUGUACUGUCUCUAAACUUUUCUCUGUAGAGACACAAGGUGGACAUCGAGCGCUGGAGACAAAGAAGGCAGUCCAGGAAAGGCAUUUAUGUAUCACCAUUACUAAAAGCUUUCCCUUUCAAGAAAACCAAAAAAGUAGGAUGAUGUUGUUUGAUGAUGACCUCAGUAUUUUGAUACAGUCCAUACCACAGAACAGCAAUUCUUAUGAUAUGCAUAAUGCACUUUUUUUAUGCAGCCAAGACUGCUGACAAAGACAACUGGAUCAUGGGCAACAAACAAAGAAGAAAUCUGUGAGCAAAACUUGUCUUCAAAAGCUUCUACUGGGCAGCCCAAGUCCAAAAAAAAAAAAAAACCCAAAAAAACAAGAGGGUAAUGGAAAAGUAGAGUAUAAUACUUCACAGCCAUCAAAAGAUUCAGUUGGAGAGCCCAAGCCCAGAAAAGAAGAAAAGGACAUUGUCACUGAGGCCGCAAGUCACAUCCUAAAUGAUGACACUGUGCAGGUAAGUAAUAAUAAUAAUAAUAAUAAUAAUAAUAAUUAUAAAACACAGAAUAUUGAAUGAACAAUAUUUUGUAUGUCUAUUAUGUUAAUAAAAAAGCCAGGUAGGAGACAUAUCUGUUGUGCAAUGUGUUAAAUGCAGUACAAAAUAUGGUCAUUAAUGAUUCUGUUCCCACCAAUGUCAUUUUAUCAAGGCUCUCUGGAAUUUGAAGGACACUGAAGUGGUGCUUGCAGUGGUUCAGUCAAUUGAGUGUUAUUAGAUAGAUAUUUAAGGAGUAAAAGACAGUCCACUGUAAAUGACACAUGGAAUUCUUAGGAUACUUUUGAAUACGUUUUAUAAAUAUUUUUUAUGUAAAAGGACAGAUAAUAUUUUUACCAAAUGAUUUACAGAACAUUAUUUAUUGUAAAUUGAAAUGCUUAAUGUCAUCAACCUUUCAAUAC